UAAGUGAUAUAUCACUUUUCCUAUUAGGAUUUAAUUUGCUUUAGCGUGAAGAGAUCAGCAAGUGAGUUCUGUUUUAAUUAGACAGGUACUAAACAGUUUGAUAGUAAUGUGAAUGCUGACAAGCUGGAGUGCUCACUGGUCCAUGAACAGAAACGAUAUUACAGCAUUCAACCUGCUUGAAGAGGAAAAAGUCCCUUAAAUAUUUUACACGCAAUGGGAAAAUGGAAAAGAAAGGUAUGCAGAACUCUGAGAUGAAAUAUGCGUAAUAAGGUAUCAGAGAUGACCUGUAACCCACCUGUAAAACUUGUUAGCUACCAGUCUGUAGCUUCUGCUCCUUGACAGAGACCUGAUUUAGCAACAUUGGUUGCAGGUAGGGAUGUAAAAUGAGAACACAGAGCCUGGAAAGCUGUCUCUCAUAACCAAGAUUUUGGAACACUCAGUGCAGAGACCAGUCCCUGAGAAGAGCAAGUCCUAAAUGUGUCAAGGAAAGCAGUAUGCAUGAACAAUGAGAAGCACACAAAGGUUGAACUUGUUCAGGAAACCUACCUUGGUGUCUUCACUAUCUGCUUUUGGAACAGAUGCUCAUAUACAGAUCUCCUCAUCUAUGUAUGCGCUGCUGCUUAUGUGCUGAGGAAUGCAGGAGAGGGAGGAGGGUUCAGCCUGCAAGGAGAGUGGGACCAAAGAGCCUAAAAUACGCCCUUCUGGGAUCCACUGUGGUCCAUGAAGCCCAGGUUUCAGUCUGAUAGCAACAAAAGGAAAUAAUGAGCAUGCCAGCCACCCACUUCUGCCACUUCUGCCACAACACAGGUUUUAGGUACAACAUAAUAUUUUUUUUAUACAGCUGAAGGAUGAAUGUUUAAAAAAAGAAAUCACAAUGAAAACAAUUACUUGUGGGAGAACAUUAAGUAAGAUCAAACUGACUCAUGCUUUAUCUUACACAUAACACUAAUAUUUUGAAGUCAGCUAAGUGCUUUUUACAUAGUAAAAAGCAGAGUAUGAGCCUAUAUGUAUCUGAAGAACAAAUGCAUCCAGGAGAGAAAAGGUUACUUAUCUUUCGAAGAAAGUCAACAGAAAUUCAGUAGUGAUAGCAUGAUAUGAGACCUCUGUAAUCUGAAAAAUAAAAUAAAAUAAAAUAAAAACA
rnacentral:lncRNA from 1 species